UUUACUAGCCCGCGAUGAGAAGCAAUACAAUGUUUGCUAUCUGGCCAGUCUGGAAUUACUGUCAAUUAAGCUGCUCUGUGCAAGAGACAUUAAAGAGUAUCUCUUGUUCCAUACUGGGGUUUACAUUUUGUCUACAGCUAUGAAGCUUUUUCAAUCUUUCUAACAAGAGCUAACAGGAAAACAAUAGUACAUCGCCCAGCAGAUUCAGACAGCAGGAAGACAACUUUGCCAAAAAAUAAAUCUUGCCCAAACAUAUGUGUAGCAAUGAAUCUGGAUGUACCUCCAAAAGGUAAAAUUCUUUCAGUACUGAAAAAGGAAGUACCGUAGCAUGUUUUUUACCGUACUUAUUACUCAGAGACAGUGAUAGUUUGUAACAUGCAAGGUGUGACAGAUAAGAACAUUGUAAGAUCAUAAAAGUUAAAAUGAAUUGCAAGAAAAGAGGAAAAGAAAUGGAUACCUACCAAGUGGAAAUUGGAUAUGCACUAAUGAAGAAAGCAAAAAGGUGUUUACUUCCAGACUGCCCCAAAAAAUGUUGGCUUCAUGUUAUACACUGCAAAAAGCCAUCAAUAAGUCAUCCUCUUGCUGAAGACUGAAAACAUUGCUGGCUGAUGACUUCUGGAAAGCAACUGAGGGAACUUUCCU